GUCUUUUUGAUUUUUAUAAAAGGUCUAGCCUGCCCAAUGAUUAAAUUUAAAUGGCCGCGGUAUUUUGACCGUGCAAAGGUAGCAUAAUAAUUAGUUUUUUAAUUGAAAGCUGGAAUGAAAGGUUGGAUAAGAAAAUAACUGUCUCUUAAAAAUUUUAUUAGAACUUUAUUUUUAAGUUAAAAAGCUUAAAUUUUAUUUAAAGACGAGAAGACCCUUUAGAGUUUUAUAAAUAUAAGAAUAUAUAAUUUUUUAGGAUUUAUAGAUGGUAUAUUUUUAUUUUAUUUGGUUGGGGUGAUUGAAAAAUUUAAAAAACUUUUUUUUUUAUUAUACAUUAAUUUAUGAAUAUUUGAUCCAAUAGUUUUGAUUAUAAGAAUAAAUUACCUAAGGGAUAACAGCGUUAUUUUUUUUGAGAGUUCAUAUCGAAAAAAAAGAUUGCGACCUCGAUGUUGGAUUAAAAUUAAGUUAUGGUGCAGGGGCUAUAAUUUUAGGCCUGUCCGACCUUUAAAAUUUUACA
rnacentral:rRNA from 1 species